ensembl:lncRNA
CUGCCCACCACUUCCGAUGGGUCUCAGGCCGCAGAGCACUCUUGAUUACACCCUUCCUGGGGCAGCCUGCAUCAGGGACUGAGCAAGGUCACCACAGAGCACUGAGUAGGGUUCCUGGAGCUAUACAGAAGGUUAGGCCCGAACGGUUUUGCACUGUGCUGCAGAUGGGCACUGACCCAGCCGAUCACUUUUCAUGUACAGACACGGUGAACCCCAGCCCUGAGUUCAAUCCAGACAUGCACACCACCAUCCACCAUGUUUUCUGGAAAUGUUCCAGUUGGAAUGAAGAAAAUCUGGGGGCAUCUCAUCCCACUCUUGUCCCCACCAACAGUGUUCCCCUUAAAGGCCCUCUGCAGCUGUCUCUGCCUCUCCUCACCAGGUUGUCAAGUGAAGUCUGGUUCCCUGAAUGACCCUGGUUAAUUUCUGCCUCGAGGGCUGGCAUCAGGAAGACUCUGAGAGGCAGUAAGGAAUCCUGCUGGCCUCAAUCCACUUGUGCAUGAAUUAAUCAUGUCUUUUCCUACUUGGUUUCCCAGAAGCCUUUUUCUAGGUCAGAGGGAGAGCUGAGAAACAGCUGGAGGUGCCGUACCC